CCUAUGUACAGGUCCCUGCUUGGUGUCCAUUAUCAUGGUGCAGCAGCCCACCCCCAGUUCACAAAGUUACAGCUCCAAUGUACUGGGCAGCCUUCAUGGGGAAGCUAUGCAAAGGAAUGCUCUUCAAUGCCUCCGUAAAAGGGAAGGGAUCUGUGUAUGGUGUUUACUUCUAGCACAACAAAUCUGGUGGUGACUUCCUGGCACCAAACCAGUCCGCCACUGGAAAUCAGGGCAGAACAAGCUCAAGGGGCAAUGGCCAUUGCUAUCUUCUCGCUCCUCCUCUUGGACACCCUUUGGACUUCCCUGGACACCCUCAGUCGGUGUUUGCUCACUACUGAGAUCAAUAACUCUACAAUAACACUCUUUUCUCCUAAAAUUUCAAAAGAAUUCAUCAGAAUGUAGAUAGGCUUGUCCCCUAUUAAAGUCCUGAAGUGCAAAGCUGCCUGGGGCAGAAUCCCAGUCCAGAGCUGUGACCUCCAGAGCACACAGAAGAAUGAAGUCUCACUUUCAAUAAUGAGAAUUUUGCACCCAAGCUGCAAUAACAGACGGAUGUUAUUUCUUUUAUAGCUUACAAACGUCACCACAGUGCAAACUCAUUACAUACCCCAACAGAAGCACAUUGCUCUUUAUAGAAACUGUUGGGAGAUAAAAGUUUCAGCGCAGAAUUUAUUGUUUAUGAAGCCCACUCAUUUACUGCGCAAUGCAGUUUUAUCAGUAACUAUUUUCAGAGCCUAAGAAAGAAAGAAAUUCAAUAAAUUCAAGAGGCUGUUAAUAGUGUGAGGAGAAGGCAGCUCUUCAUUGUGUGACUGAGUCUCAUUGUCUAAUUGUCCCAGGAAAUUUAAAGCAGAAUGUGUUUUUGACAGCUUCGUUAAUGUGACUUUUUUUUUUCCCCUGCCAGAAAUUCAAGCAUAAUUGAGACAUAGUGUUGAACUUCAAAUGUUUCCCCGAGACCUGAAUGGUGAACUUGAUGAAGCAUGUAAUAUGGCAUAACCUCCCAAUUAUUCACACAUUUAGAUAACUAUAAUCACACAAUUCCUAUCGUGGCAAAAAGGUUAUUGUAGGCAGAUAUUGGCAGGGGCUAAUGGACAGCAUAUUGCAAGGGCAAGGAGGGUUUGGAAGGAAGCAUUAAUCAGAAUUUGGUAGUAAAGUCAUUAUUCACAGCUUAACAAAGCUGUCACUCUCUGCUGCAGUCCCAGGACCUCUAUCAACUCAUCAUUCAACUCAGCAAUCCCAAAGAACAGAAUGUAUCAAAGAAGAGAUGUGUUGUGUAAGUGUGACUGCCCCCAGGAUGCCCAGCCUUUCGCAGCAGGGUUUCCCUAGCAAGAGAAAUCAUCACCAGAAUUUGUAGUAAUCAAGGCAUGUAGUUUUCAGUGAAAUGCCAUCACUUUGCUGUAUGACAAUCUGACACUCUUGCUCUGGGUUUGAGAAAUGCAGCUGCAUUCUUCUGCUGGACGUUGUUCCGGCUUUUCUAGCUGCUUGCAGAGGCACUCAUGGCAAUUGUGAUGAGUAAAGAGAAGAGAACUGCAGGAGAGAGGGACAGCCAGCAGAUGAGGCAACGUGGUUAUUCUCCUUGGGCUCCUAUUCUCCGUGGGCACUUAUUACAUCCUGGCUGGGAUGCAGUGUCCCCAGUGAACAUGAAAUCUGGAUAACCUGGACUGGCUUCAGCAGAGGGCCACCAAGAUGAGCAGAAGCACAUCCUGUGGGGAGCUGUGGAGGAGGGAUCAAGUCUUGUUCAGCCUGGAAAGCAGAAGUUCAUGAGGGACAGACAUGGACAUACCGGAAAGAGUCCAACAGAGGGAUGUCAAGAUGAUGAAUGGACUGGAUGGAGUGGCUUCUUAUGAGACAGUCUUCCUCCUUGGAGAUCUCCAGAAGCAGUUGGGACAUGGGCCUGGGCAGCAGCAGCUCGGACUGAAGUAUCCAGUGUGAGCAAAGUGGCACGUACUCCAGGACUAUGACAGAGAGGAGAAAGACCUCUGUUUUGGUAACUCCACCAGGAUGAGCUCUCCUGCGCUGCACACAGUGCAGCCAACCCAGGCAGUCUGUGCUCUUGCUCCAUGACACCUCUGACCUCCAUGGAUUUUCCUUUUUUUUAAUAAUUUUCAUCACAUACAAUCUACAAGAAGCGAGCCAUGGUUGCAGACUCUCACUCAACCAAUGGACACAAACCAUCUCCCCCAUGGAAAGAAACUAAACCUGGGCAGAAGGCUGCACAGCAAGCUCGGUGCAAAGCAAGUCUGCUUGCAAAGGCAUUUUGGUGAUGCCACCUCAAUUGCCGCAAAUGAACAGUAGACUCUAUUGCCUAAUGUGUACACUUGGAAACCAUGCUCACAUCUACUUCCUCUUAAGACUUGCUUGGGGCCAAAAUAUUCCACCUCCCCAGGUUUUUGGUUUCAUGCUUUGCAGGCGGUGGCUCUGGAAAUCUGUUUUGCUCAACUGGUGGUAUGCUGCAAAUGCAUCCCAUCCAACCCACAGCACAAGCCUUGACUGCUCACCGCUGCUUGGUGAUAUAUCCCAGAGAAGUCAGGUGAAUGGUUCCCAGUCUGUUAUUGCUUCGGGGCUCGUGAUGAUGUAUAACAUUACAUGGAACUGUUUAUUUAAACAGAGAGAGUCCCAUCAGGGUCACAACCUGAUGUGUCAUUUCCCACCCACCUGAUGGGACUAUGGGGAGAUGUUUGGGCUGCCUUCAUACCCAGUAUGGUAGGCAGGAGGAAAAGCCAAUCUGGGGGUACUUCUUUAGAAAGAGCAAAGUCAAGCUAUACUUCUUACAACAGGCCCAUCUUGGGAAAAUGACUGCUGAUAGAAUAUGUUGCAGAUCAAGGCAUUCAGAAAGAGAAAGUGCAUGCAAAAAUCUUUUAAAAGCCUCUCAAAACCUGCCAUAAAAAGCCCUUGGCAGCUUUCUAACCAAUGCAGACUGAUCUAGCACCUUGGAGUUACAAAUACAAGCUGCUCUACCCUGAAGGAGGGUCUGCUCCAUCUCCUGGCCCCAGCACUAAGUGAUGACUUUGUGGAUGACAUGGGAUAGUCUUGUUAGCAGAGGUUGCAUUGCUGGCUCAGGUAAUUGGGGACAACCCUCUGCUUGGUGUGUGUGUCUGCAUUUAACAAGCAAAGAAGGCAUAGAUUUCUUUAAAGAUAUCCAACCUGAGUACACCACAGCUGGGAAGCACAUACAAGCAAUAGCUUUCACAUGCGAACAAAUAAAAGAUCCUUGCAAAACAGAUGCUGAGGUUUGCGGGGCUGGCACAGGCUCGCUGCUGGCAGGGAGUUAACUCACAGAAAACUGAAAGGUUUGGAGAUGGAAGAGUAUCUGGAGACCGUUUGUUCAUAAACACAGCUGAAGGCCAGCAACCUGCUUUCUGCCCUGCCCGAGCUGCACUGCUGGAGUCAUUCCUUGCAGGGUUCCUACAACGGGGAAGGCAGAUAUGCAAUUCUUCUGCAGCCCACGCUCUAGAGAAAUAAUUAAACAGUUUUUCUUAA